rnacentral:rRNA from 1 species
GACGUAGGGCGCGAGCGUUGUCCGGAUUUAUUGGGCGUAAAGAGCUCGUAGGCGGCUUGUCGCGUCGUCCGUGAAAACCCACGGCUUAACUGUGGGCUUGCGGUCGAUACGGGCGGACUAGAGUUCGGCAGGGGAGACUGGAAUUCCUGGUGUAGCGGUGAAAUGCGCAGAUAUCAGGAGGAACACCGGUGGCGAAGGCGGGUCUCUGGGCCGAUACUGACGCUGAGGAGCGAAAGCGUGGGGAGCGAACAGG